rnacentral:rRNA from 1 species
AACGAACGCUGGCGGCAUGCCUAACACAUGCAAGUCGAACGAGACCUUCGGGUCUAGUGGCGCACGGGUGCGUAACGCGUGGGAACCUGCCCUUAGGUUCGGAAUAACUCCCCGAAAGGGGUGCUAAUACCGGAUAAUGUCUUCGGACCAAAGAUUUAUCGCCUUUGGAUGGGCCCGCGUUGGAUUAGCUAGUUGGUAGGGUAAAAGCCUACCAAGGCGACGAUCCAUAGCUGGUCUGAGAGGAUGAUUAGCCACACUGGGACUGAGACACGGCCCAGACUCCUACGGGAGGCAGCAGUGGGGAAUAUUGGACAAUGGGCGAAAGCCUGAUCCAGCAAUGCCGCGUGAGUGAUGAAGGCCUGAGGGUUGUAAAGCUCUUUUACCCGGGAUGAUAAUGACAGUACCGGGAGAAUAAGCUCCGGCUAACUCCGUG